AUUGAACGCUGGCGGCAUGCUUUACACAUGCAAGUCGAACGGUAACAGGUUAAGCUGACGAGUGGCGAACGGGUGAGUAAUGCAUCGGAACGUGCCCGAUCGUGGGGGAUAACGCAGCGAAAGCUGCGCUAAUACCGCAUACGAUCUGAGGAUGAAAGCGGGGGACCGUAAGGCCUCGCGCGAUCGGAGCGGCCGAUGUCAGAUUAGGUAGUUGGUGGGGUAAAGGCUCACCAAGCCAACGAUCUGUAGCUGGUCUGAGAGGACGACCAGCCACACUGGGACUGAGACACGGCCCAGACUCCUACGGGAGGCAGCAGUGGGGAAUUUUGGACAAUGGGCGAAAGCCUGAUCCAGCAAUGCCGCGUGCAGGAAGAAGGCCUUCGGGUUGUAAACUGCUUUUGUACGGAGCGAAAAGGUUCUCUCUAAUACAGAGGGCUCAUGACGGUACCGUAAGAAUAAGCACCGGCUAACUACGUGCCAGCAGCCGCAGUAAGAC
rnacentral:rRNA from 1 species